CCCGCCUGCUCUCCUUUAUUUCCGUCCCCUCCCACGAAACCCUAGCCGCCGCGCCCUACAGCCGCUUGACGCCACCGCGCCCUCCUCCUCCUUCCACCUCCUGGCCGGCGCCCAACCACCGCGCCCUCUCACUCCUCCUGCCGCCAACCUCUCCCUAGGCGGCGGCCAGAUCUGCCACGGCCAGGGCCAACCACCGCGCCCUCUCCCUCCUCCUGCUACGGCCUCUCCCUAGGCGACGACCUGUUUUGCCACGACCACGACCACGGCAGGGGCUUCUGGAUCCGCGCCGCCGUCGAGCUGGACGCGACCAUCGACCUCGGACCACACCGCCACAGCCAUGGAUGCACCAUAUCAAGCACUAGGCAUCAGACUUAUGGAGGAGUAGGGUCAACAAAUAAGAGGAGAUGCUAGACCCCUUUGCACUGGUUAAGGAUGAAGUGUCGGAAAUCUCGAACAGACUGCGUUUGACGGUGGUAUCUGAGGUACCUGAAUUGACAUCAGCAGCUGGACACUUCUUCAGAGCUGGAGCUGAAGGGAAAAGAACAUGCCCUACUGUAAGUCCAUACUUCAGGGUGGUACUGAAUAUCCUGUUAUUACAUCAAGGCACGUGUUGCUGUUUGCUUAGACACAUAAGCAUAUACAUGAUGUAUGUACCUGUCCUUAUCGCAUCAGCGUAAGUUAUUGAUAAUCGGCGUGCCAGGUUCUACUACUGAUGGCCUCGGCUAUAAGAACAGACACUCUUGACUUGGUUGUUGUUUCAAGGAGCGAGCUUCAUGCAAGACAGAUGCACAUUGCUCCUGCACUGUCAUUGAUGCUCCUGGACACCGUGAUUUCAUCAAGAACAUGAUCACUGGGACCUCCCGGGCUGAUUUUGCGGUGCUUAUCAUUGAAUCCACCACUGGUGGUUUUGAGGCUGGUAUCUCCAAUGAUGUCCAGACCCGUGAGCAUGCUCUCCUUGCUUUCACUCUUGGCGUCAGGCAGAUGAUCUGCUGCUGCAACAAGAUAGAUGCUACUACCCCAAAGUACUCCAGGGCUCGCUACUUUGAAAUUGUCAAUGAAGUUAGCUACUACUUGAAGAAGGUGGGCUACAAUCCUGCCUGUUCACCAGCUGCCUGUUAAUGGAUGGACCCCCCUGCUUGUUCCAUUCACCAGCUGAAUCCUGCUCCUGCUGCUAGCUCCCAGCCUUAUUCCAUUGGUUGAUUUUAUGUAUGAUAGUGUUGAUAAGACACUAAGUUGUAUGCAGAUCUACAAAAGUAUAUAAUACUUUUGAUUGUGGUGUAGUUUUUUGUUAUUUGAAAGCAACUGACGACUCUAUCAAUCAGUGCACGAAGAAAUCUAUUUCUAAGUAUCCUAAGGUGAUAAGAAUUGUGAUUGACUCAGUAGGAGGAGCAUGAGCAGUGGUGGAAGCAGGACCAUGCGGGCUUGGACCAGGUCGCGGCACCAGAUGUGGAAGAUUAAGGCCUUUGCCAGGAAAUGCAAACUGCGGCAGACGAGCACACUCCUCCAGAGAGACAGGGUAUAUUCUAAAAUUUGUGUAUGGAUUUUGGGUGGUGAUUACUCAAGAAGGAUACCACAUUUAUUUGUUGUCUAAACAAUUUGACAGCGAACACACUAGGAGAGAAUUUGCAUACACUGCACCUAAAGAUUUAUUUGGAAACUGUCAUCAUGCCCAGGCAGAAGAAAGGAUACAUCAGUCGACUAAAUCAUUUUGCAAUAUAUCUAUGUCCCACGUGUAGUAGCCAUCACCAAUUCUAUUUCUGAUCCACAACUUUCAAAUCUAUAGAAGUAGGGGUCUGACUGAGUCAAAGAUAAUGGUACAUCGAGCUGGCUAUCUAAGUUACUAUCUUAUCUAAGAUGUAAUUGAUGCUUUCUUUUGCCCAAUAGUAUGUAUUUCGAUGGAUUAACUUUUGUGUUAGUCAUGUUUCAAUGGAUUAACUAUUUGUGUUUGUCAUGUAAAACUAUGUGUCCUAUGACAUGUGACUUGCUAUGCACCUGUAAUGUCACUGCCA